rnacentral:misc_RNA from 1 species
GAACGCACCUUGCGCCCUUUGGCUAUUCUGAAGAGCAUGCUUGUUUGAGUAUCAGUAAACACCUCAAAGACUUCAAUUUGUUUUGAAUGGCUUUGGACUUGAGCAAUCCCAACACCAGUCUUUACGAUCGGUGGAGGGUUGCUUGAAAUGCAGGCGCAGCUGGACAUUCUCCUGAGCUAAAAGCAUAUUUAUUUAGUCCCGUCAAACGGAUUAUUACUUUUGCUGCAGCUAACAUAAAGGGAGUUUGACCGUAUUGGCUGACUGAUGCAGGAUUUCACAAGGGUCGGCAACGAUUCUUGUAAAACUCGAUCUCAAAUCAAGUAAGACUACCCGCUGAACUUAAG